rnacentral:rRNA from 1 species
GACGGUACCUGAGGAAUCAGCAUCGGCUAACUCCGUGCCAGCAGCCGCGGUAAGACGGAGGAUGCAAGCGUUAUUCGGAAUUAUUGGGCGUAAAGCGUCCGUAGGUGGUUAUGCAAGUCAGUUGUUAAAGCCCACAGCUCAACCGUGGAUGGGCAAUUGAAACAGCAAGACUAGAGUGUGGUAGGGGUGGAGGGAAUUCCUAGUGUAGMGGUGAAAUUCGUAGAUAUUAGGAGGAACACCAGUGGCGAAGGCGCUUUUCUGGGCCAUAAUUGACACUGAGGGGCGAAAGCUAGGGGAGCGAAMGGGAUUAGAUACCCCGGUAGUCCUCGCC